UACAGAGGGUGCAAACGUUGCUCGGAAUCAUUGGGCGUAAAGCGCACGUAGGCGGCCCAGCAAGUGGGGAGUGAAAGCCCUCGGCUUAACCGAGGAAGUGCUUUCCAAACUACUGGGCUUGAAUACUGGAGAGGGUCGCGGAAUUCCCGGUGUAGAGGUGAAAUGCGUAGAUAUCUGGAGGAACACCGGUGGCGAAGGCGGCAUCCUGGACCGAGAUUGACGCUGAUGCGCGAAAGCCAGGGGAGCAAACGGG
rnacentral:rRNA from 1 species